rnacentral:rRNA from 1 species
AUUGAACGCUGGCGGCGUGCCUAACACAUGCAAGUCGAGCGGUAACAGGUGUAGCAAUACAUGCUGACGAGCGGCGAACGGGUGAGUAAUGCUUUGGAAUCUUCCCAGUAGUGGGGAAUAACCAGUCGAAAGAUUGGCUAAUACCGCAUACGUCCGAAAGGGGAAAGCGGGGGCUCGUAAGACCUCGCGCUAUUGGAUGAGCCAAAGUCGGAUUAGCUAGUUGGUGGGGUAAUGGCCUACCAAGGCGACAAUCCGUAGCUGGUCUGAGAGGACGACCAGCCACAC